CCUGGUCCAUGAUGAUCCGUCCUUUGGAGACUGCUGGAUGAGUCCUGCGGAUAUGGGGCUGAGGCCAGGC
ensembl:snoRNA